UACGUAGGGGGCAAGCGUUAAUCGGAAUUACUGGGCGUAAAGAGCGUGUAGGCGGCCAGAUAAGUCCGCUGUGAAAUCUCGAGGCUCAACUUCGAGCUGUCGGUGGAAACUGUCUGGCUAGAGUCCGGAAGAGGAGAAUGGAAUUCCUGGUGUAGCGGUGAAAUGCGCAGAUAUCAGGAAGAACACCCGUGGCGAAGGCGGUUCUCUGGGACGGUACUGACGCUGAGACGCGAAAGCGUGGGGAGCGAACAGG
rnacentral:rRNA from 1 species